ACCAAACUACAUCUACAAAUUUCAUGAAAAUAUGUGAGGAAAAUGUAUUUAUCCCAAAAGUUAAGGCACCUAACGACAAAUACUAAUAUCUGCAGAGAAGAGUCAUCGGGAAAGUUGAAAUUUCAUCUCGAUUUCCAAAGAAGCAGCAGUUGACACUUGAUGGUGCCAAUCUGCUGCAGCAAUGGCUACCCGUAGGCCGUAACAGCUUCGCUCACCAAUCUCAACCGUUGCCGCUAGUAGUGGCGCUCAACUGCAUCUAAGACACAUCCGUCGAGCACGUGCCGCCGUCCUCAUCCACUCCCUCGCCUUCCUCCCCUGGCAGUUGAUCCUCUGCCUCGGCCUCGAUCGGCUGGUCCACGUCGACGUCAGCCGGUCGGACACUGUUAUGGCGCUCGUUUUGGGGCUACUGCGGCGCACGUCGAGGAAUGCGGCGCUGCCGGGGAAUGGUGUUGGGAAUUGUGGGGAGGUCUGCUUCGGCGACGUCGAUGGCUAGGAAGUGUCUACGUUAGCAUUCCCACCUGCUUCUAGAAGAAUGGAUACACUGAAUGACUUGCUUGCUGCAAGUGAUGUUAUAUCACUGCACUGUGCUUUGACUGAGGAAACGAUUCAAAUUAUGAACGCAGAUUGUCUACAACACAUAAAGCCUGGUAAUUAAGUGUUACAAAUAUUGAUUGAUUUUUUAUGCUUUGUUUGUUUGAUCUGUCUUGUUCUGAGGAUUCUACUGAUGCACAGAGUCAUUUCUUGUGAAUACUGGUAGUAGCCAACUGCUGGAUGAUUGUUCUAUAAAGCAAUUUUUGCUUGAUGUCACACUUGCAGGCUGUGCUAUAACAAUGGAUGGAAGCAUGGGUACGAGUAAUAAUAGUUUGAGUAUGAAUGUGAUAUACAGAGUUAGUUAAGAGGAUGACUUACUUCUUUUAUGAAGAACUGUCCUGAAAAUGCAAACUAUUUGCUUGAGUUUUUGCUAUGCAACCUACUUAAUGAAACGAGUCUUGUCUUCCCUUUUCAAGAAAUUAAGCAAUAUAGUUUAGUUUGUUUAGUUGCUUUUUACUGAGUUAAGCUCUAAAACUAUGUAUUAUUCGUGCAAAAUGUUCAUUUGUUAUAGAC